UACGUAGGGGGCAAGCGUUAAUCGGAAUUACUGGGCGUAAAGUGUGCGCAGGCGGCUGAGCAAGUCGAGUGUGAAAGCCCCGAGCUUAACUUGGGAAUUGCGCUCGAAACUACUUGGCUCGAGUGUGGCAGAGGAAGGUGGAAUUCCACGUGUAGCGGUGAAAUGCGUAGAGAUGUGGAGGAACACCGAUGGCGAAGGCAGCCUUCUGGGCCAACACUGACGCUCAUGCACGAAAGCGUGGGGAGCAAACAGG
rnacentral:rRNA from 1 species